rnacentral:rRNA from 1 species
AUGCCGUGCGCCCUCCCUAUCGACCCUGUGCUGCUUCACCCUACCUCGACCUCGCAUCCGGACGUCGUUGCUCUACCUCAGCGGUCGACGCCGGCGGCCAAGAAGGCAACAUCGAGUAGCUCCAAGGUCGGGCUGCAAUUCCCCGUUGGCAGGAUCGCCAGAUUCCUCAAGGCCGGCAAGUACGCCGAGCGCUUAGGCACUGGUGCCCGCAUCUACCUCGCCGCCGUUCCACAAGCCGUGGAGCUGGCUGGCAACGCUGCCGAUGCCAGGGACAACAAGAAGACCCAUAUCAUGCACCGCCACAUCCAGCUCGCCGUGCGCAAUGGCGAGGAGCUAUAUAUCUCAGACCUAUAUGAUUUAUUGUUGGGACAGGAGGGGGCCAACAUCCAGCAAGAUAUGGUGCUGCAAAAUGAAUGUGGGGUUUGUCUAGCUAAUCAGGUUGGCUGUGCAACAGAGGACCUGCUUUCAGAGAGUAUCAUUUGGGUGCAAAACUGCAAGUAUGCCAGCUGCCUGUCGAUGUUUAAGCUAGGAAUCAUUGCACCUACCAUUCUUUAUUUUCUCAGGCACAGGCACGAACCAAACACCACUUGGCCGGAGCUGCCUAGUCGGGUUAAAAGCACAGCAAUCUCAGGCUACACUCAGGCACGUAAUUUUCUCAGGUAUGGUGCUCAGGGCACCAACCAAACAGCCCCCAACUCUUCGACGAGUAUAAAUCGGCCCCCAACAAUUUGUAAACUAAUUCACCGGAAUGUUUAG